ACGGCUGCUCAGUAACACGUAGUCAACUUACCCUAUGGACGAGGAUAAUCUCGGGAAACUGAGCAUAAUACUCGAUAGAUCAUAAUGCCUGGAAUGGUUUAUGGUUGAAAUGAUUCGUCGCCAUAGGAUGGGACUGCGGCCUAUCAGCUUGUUGGUGAGGUAAUGGCCCACCAAGGCGAUUACAGGUACGGGCUCUGAGAGGAGAAGCCCGGAGAUGGGUACUGAGACAAGGACCCAGGCCCUAUGGGGCGCAGCAGGCGAGAAAACUUUGCAAUGUGCGAAAGCACGACAAGGUUAAUCCGAGUGAUUUCUGCUAAAGAAAUCUUUUGCAAGUCAUAAAACCACUAGUGAAUAAGGGGUGGGCAAGUCCUGGUGUCAGCCGCCGCGGUAAAACCAGCACCUCAAGUGGUCAGGAGGAUUAUUGGGCCUAAAGCAUCCGUAGCCGGCUCUGUAAGUUUUCGGUUAAAUCCAUGUGCUCAACGCAUGGGCUGCCGAAAAUACUGCAUAGCUAGGGAGUGGGAGAGGUAGACGGUACUCGGUAGGAAGGGGUAAAAUCCUUUGAUCUAUCGAUGACCACCUGUGGCGAAGGCGGUCUACCAGAACACGUUCGACGGUGAGGGAUGAAAGCUGGGGGAGCAAACCGGAUUAGAUACCCGGGUAGUCCCAGCUGUAAACGAUGCAGACUCGAUGAUGCAUUGGCAUAUAGCCAGUGCAGUGUCGCAGGGAAGCCGUUAAGUCUGCCGCCUGGGAAGUACGUACGCAAGUAUGAAACUUAAAGGAAUUGGCGGGGGAGCAG
rnacentral:rRNA from 1 species